rnacentral:rRNA from 1 species
GACGAACGCUGGCGGCGUGCUUAACACAUGCAAGUCGAGCGGUAAGGCCCUCUCGGGGGUACACGAGCGGCGAACGGGUGAGUAACACGUGGGUGACCUGCCUUUAGCUCUGGGAUAAGCCUGGGAAACCGGGUCUAAUACCGGAUAUGACUCCGCGGCGCAUGUUGUGGGGUGGAAAGCCUUGUGCGGCUGGAGAUGGGCCCGCGGCCUAUCAGCUUGUUGGUGGGGUGAUGGCCUACCAAGGCGACGACGGGUAGCCGGCC